rnacentral:rRNA from 1 species
GUGCGAGGGCAUAUAGUCCUCGCUUUUCACGACUGUAAGGCGGUCGUGGAAUAAGAGCUGGGCAAGACCGGUGCCAGCCGCCGCGGUAAUACCGGCAGCUCAAGUGAUGACCGAUAUUAUUGGGCCUAAAGCGUCCGUAGCCGGCCACGAAGGUUCAUCGGGAAAUCCGCCAGCUCAACUGGCGGGCGUCCGGUGAAAACCACGUGGCUUGGGACCGGAAGGCUCGAGGGGUACGUCCGGGGUAGGAGUGAAAUCCCGUAAUCCUGGACGGACCACCGAUGGCGAAAGCACCUCGAGAAGACGGAUCCGACGGUGAGGGACGAAAGCUAGGGUCUCGAACCGGAUUAGAUACCCGGGUAGUCCUAGCUGUAAACGAUGCUCGCUAGGUGUGACACAGGCUACGAGCCUGUGUUGUGCCGUAGGGAAGCCGAGAAGCGAGCCGCCUGGGAAGUACGUCCGCAAGGAUGAAACUUAAAGGAAUUGGCGGGGGAGCACUACAACCGGAGGAGCCUGCGGUUUAAUUGGAUUCAACGCCGG